rnacentral:rRNA from 1 species
AGAGCGAACGCUGGCGGCAGGCCUAACACAUGCAAGUCGAGCGCCCGUAGCAAUACGGGAGCGGCAGACGGGAUAGUAACACGUGGGAACGCGCCCUUCGGUUCGGAAUAACUCAGGGAAACUUGAGCUAAUACCGAAUACGCCCUUACGGGGAAAGAUUUAUUGCCGAAGGAACGGCCCGCGUCCGAUUAGCUAGUUGGUGAGGUAAUGGCUCACCAAGGCUACGAUCGGUAGCUGGUCUGAGAGGAUGACCAGCAUCACUGGGACUGAGACACGGCCCAGACUCCUACGGGAGGCAGCAGUGGGGAAUAUUGGACAAUGGGCGCAAGCCUGAUCCAGCCAUGCCGCGUGGAUGAUGAAGGCCUUAGGGUUGUAAAGUCCUUUUAACGGGGAGAUAAUGACGGUACCGUAGAAUAAGCCCGGCUAACUUCGCGCCAGCAGCCGC